rnacentral:rRNA from 1 species
AAGUCGAACGGAAAGGCCUUUUCGGAGGUACUCGAGUGGCGAACGGGUGAGUAACACGUGGGUGAUCUGCCCUGCACUCUGGGAUAAGCCUGGGAAACUGGGUCUAAUACCGGAUAGGACCGCACUUUAGUGUGUGUGGUGGAAAGUUUUUUCGGUGUAGGAUGAGCCCGCGGCCUAUCAGCUUGUUGGUGGGGUAAUGGCCUACCAAGGCGACGACGGGUAGCCGGACUGAGAGGUUGGUCGGCCACAUUGGGACUGAGAUACGGCCCAGACUCCUACGGGAGGCAGCAGUGGGGAAUAUUGCACAAUGGGCGCAAGCCUGAUGCAGCGACGCCGCGUGGGGGAUGACGGCCUUCGGGUUGUAAACUCCUUUCGCCAGGGACGAAGCGUUUUGUGACGGUACCUGGAGAAGAAGCACCGGCUAACUACGUGCCAGCAGCCGCGGUAAUACGUAGGGUGCAAGCGUUGUCCGGAAUUACUGGGCGUAAAGAGCUCGUAGGUGGUUUGUCACGUCGUCUGUGAAAUUCCACAGCUUAACUGUGGGCGUGCAGGCGAUACGGGCUGACUUGAGUACUGUAGGGGUAACUGGAAUUCCUGGUGUAGCGGUGAAAUGCGCAGAUAUCAGGAGGAACACCGAUGGCGGAGGCAGGUUACUGGGCAGUUACUGACGCUGAGGAGCGAAAGCAUGGGUA